AAAUUGCGGGUUCGUAGAGGAACCUUUUUGACUUGAGAUUGAGGUACAUUGACUGUGUUUGCUACUAAGGGACUUGAAGAUAGUUAGCUCCAGUUGGGUUAAAGAGUGCGUUGGAUCCCUUUUGAUUUAAUAGGACUUUAAAAAGACUUCCGCUGUUAUUUAUUUAUAAGAUUUAUGUUCUGGUUUGUAAUAAUUAGUUUACAUUCUAUUUAGUUGGUCUGUAAUAAUUAGUUAAAACUUAUUGGUUAUUGUUUUA